rnacentral:rRNA from 1 species
CCUACGGGUGGCAGCAGUGAGGAAUAUUGGUCAAUGGGCGAGAGCCUGAACCAGCCAAGUCGCGUGAAGGAUGAAGGCCCUAUGGGUUGUAAACUUCUUUUAUAUGGGAAUAAAGUGCGGUACGUGUUCUUCUUUGCAUGUACCAUAUGAAUAAGCAUCGGCUAACUCCGUGCCAGCAGCCGCGGUAAUACGGAGGAUGCGAGCGUUAUCCGGAUUUAUUGGGUUUAAAGGGUGCGUAGGUGGUUAAUUAAGUCAGCGGUGAAAGGUUGUGGCUCAACCACAAAAUUGCAGUUGAAACUGGUUGACUUGAGUACAGGAGAGGUAGGCGGAAUGCGUGGUGUAGCGGUGAAAUGCUUAGAUAUCACGAAGAACUCCGAUUGCGAAGGCAGCUUGCUGAACUGUAACUGACGCUGAUGCACGAAAGCGUGGGGAUCAAACAGGAUUAGAUACCCCUGUAGUC